rnacentral:rRNA from 1 species
UACGAAGGGGGCUAGCGUUGCUCGGAAUCACUGGGCGUAAAGCGCACGUAGGCGGAUUCCUAAGUCGGUGGUGAAAGCCUGGAGCUCAACUCCAGAACUGCCUCCGAUACUGGGAGUCUUCGAGUCCGGGAGAGGUGAGUGGAACUGCGAGUGUAGAGGUGAAAUUCGUAGAUAUUCGCAAGAACACCAGUGGCGAAGGCGGCUCACUGGCCCGGUACUGACGCUGAGGUGCGAAAGCGUGGGGAGCAAACAGG